GCGCCUGUAGCUCAGUUGGAUAGAGCAGUGGUCUACGAAACCAUUGGUCGGGGGUUCGAAUCCCUCCAGGCGCGCCA
rnacentral:tRNA from 1 species